CCCACAGAGAUGAUGUGGUAGAUAGGAUGGAAGUGGAAGUGCGGUGACGCAUGGAGCGGACCAUUACUAAUCGGUCGAGGACUUAACCAAG
rnacentral:rRNA from 1 species